rnacentral:rRNA from 1 species
GGUUUGAUCCUGGCUCAGGAUGAACGCUAGCUACAGGCUUAACACAUGCAAGUCGAGGGGCAGCAUUUUAGUUUGCUUGCAAACUAAAGAUGGCGACCGGCGCACGGGUGAGUAACACGUAUCCAACCUGCCGAUAACUCGGGGAUAGCCUUUCGAAAGAAAGAUUAAUAUCCGAUAGUAUAUUAAAACCGCAUGGUUUUACUAUUAAAGAAUUUCGGUUAUCGAUGGGGAUGCGUUCCAUUAGUUUGUAGGCGGGGUAACGGCCCACCAAGACUACGAUGGAUAGGGGUUCUGAGAGGAAGGUCCCCCACAUUGGAACUGAGACACGGUCCAAACUCCUACGGGAGGCAGCAGUGAGGAAUAUUGGUCAAUGGACGAGAGUCUGAACCAGCCAAGUAGCGUGAAGGAUGACUGCCCUAUGGGUUGUAAACUUCUUUUAUAUGGGAAUAAAGUAUUCCACGUGUGGGAUUUUGUAUGUACCAUAUGAAUAAGGAUCGGCUAACUCCGUGCCAGCAGCCGCGGUAAUACGGAGGAUCCGAGCGUUAUCCGGAUUUAUUGGGUUUAAAGGGAGCGUAGGUGGAUUGUUAAGUCAGUUGUGAAAGUUUGCGGCUCAACCGUAAAAUUGCAGUUGAAACUGGCAGUCUUGAGUACAGUAGAGGUGGGCGGAAUUCGUGGUGUAGCGGUGAAAUGCUUAGAUAUCACGAAGAACUCCGAUUGCGAAGGCAGCUCACUAGACUGCAACUGACACUGAUGCUCGAAAGUGUGGGUAUCAAACAGGAUUAGAUACCCUGGUAGUCCACACAGUAAACGAUGAAUACUCGCUGUUUGCGAUAUACAGUAAGCGGCCAAGCGAAAGCAUUAAGUAUUCCACCUGGGGAGUACGCCGGCAACGGUGAAACUCAAAGGAAUUGACGGGGGCCCGCACAAGCGGAGGAACAUGUGGUUUAAUUCGAUGAUACGCGAGGAACCUUACCCGGGCUUAAAUUGCAUUUGAAUAAUCUGGAAACAGGUUAGCCGCAAGGCAAAUGUGAAGGUGCUGCAUGGUUGUCGUCAGCUCGUGCCGUGAGGUGUCGGCUUAAGUGCCAUAACGAGCGCAACCCUUAUCUUUAGUUACUAACAGGUCAUGCUGAGGACUCUAGAGAGACUGCCGUCGUAAGAUGUGAGGAAGGUGGGGAUGACGUCAAAUCAGCACGGCCCUUACGUCCGGGGCUACACACGUGUUACAAUGGGGGGUACAGAAGGCAGCUACCUGGCGACAGGAUGCUAAUCCCAAAAACCUCUCUCAGUUCGGAUCGAAGUCUGCAACCCGACUUCGUGAAGCUGGAUUCGCUAGUAAUCGCGCAUCAGCCAUGGCGCGGUGAAUACGUUCCCGGGCCUUGUACACACCGCCCGUCAAGCCAUGAAAGCCGGGGGUACCUGAAGUACGUAACCGCAAGGAGCGUCCUAGGGUAAAACUGGUAAUUGGGGCUAAGUCGUAACAAGGUACCC